GUGCAGGAUAGUCCACCAGACUAUAGGGUGUUCGACUCCCAGCCGAAAGGUUUUGGGUUCGAUCCCCCAUCUCCACA